GUUAAAAAGCUCGUAGUUGAAUUUCGGGGUUAGCAGGUUGGUCGUGCCACUGGUAUGUACUGGCCUUGCUGAUUCCUCCCUCUUGAUGAGCCGUAAUGCCAUUAAUUUGGUGUUGCGAGGAAUCAGGACUGUUACUUUGAAAAAAUUAGAGUGUUUAAAGCAGGCAAGCGCUUGAAUACAUUAGCAUGGAAUAAUGAAAUAGGACGUUUGAUCUUAUUUUGUUGGUUUCUAAGAUUGACGUAAUGAUUAAUAGGGAUAGUUGGGGGCAUUAGUAUUCAAUUGUCAGAGGUGAAAUUCUUGGAUUUAUUGAAGACUAACUACUGCGAAAGCAUUUGCCAAGGAUGUUUUCAUUAAUCAAGAACGAAAGUUAGGGGAUCGAAGACGAUCAGAUACCGUCGUAGUCUUAACCAUAAACUAUGCCGACUAGGGAUCGGAUGAUGUUAAUUUUUUAAUGACUCAUUCGGCGCCUUACGGGAAAC
rnacentral:rRNA from 1 species